GUACACGCUGUGACUAGCAUAUCAAUAAGCGGAGGAAAAGAAACUAACAAGGAUUCCCCUAGUAACGGCGAGUGAAGCGGGAAGAGCUCAAAUUUGAAAUCUUAAAGGGUUUCCCUUUACGAAUUGUAGUUUAAAGAAGUGUUUUCUGUUGAGGUUUUGGUAAAAGUUCUUUGGAAUAGGACAUCAUAGAGGGUGAGAAUCCCGUAUUUGACCUUUACUCUCAACUUUGUGAUACACUUUCAAAGAGUCGGAUUGUUUGGGAAUGCAGUCCAAAAUGGGUGGUAAAUUUCAUCUAAAGCUAAAUAUUGGCGAGAGACCGAUAGCGAACAAGUACCGUGAGGGAAAGAUGAAAAGAACUUUGAAAAGAGAGUUAAACAGUACGUGAAAUUGUCAAAAGGGAAGCGUUUGACACCAGUGUUGUUUUUCUGAAAAUCAAUUAAAGAACUGUUUAUGCUAAGCUGUUUAGACUUUAUCAGCUAUCUGUUUAGUUUUGAGCAUUUUCUUUAAUGCACUUUUCAGUUAACAAGUCAACAUCAAUUUCUUUUGCUGUAAAAAAAGCUUGAGGAAGGUGGCUUGAGAUUCGUCUUAAGUGUUUAUAGCCUCUUGCCUAUGCAGUCGGAGAGAUUGAGGUCUGCAGCGUAGAUCCUUCGGGGCUAAAUGCAUUUGUGCUAAGUUAUAGCAUUUUAUAGACAACUUGUUGACUAUGAUUUGUCUUGUAGCUUACUCGCUUAUGUUAUUUUACCUACGCUUAGGAUGUUGAGCGCAUGUCUCUCUCU
rnacentral:rRNA from 1 species